UCUCUCUAUUCUAAAGAACACCCCGCACGUUAAGGGCAGAGUCUUUAGGAGACUACUACAAAAUAGGGCCAAGAAACGAAAUCCUUAAGGGUAUGAAAUAUUCACGUGACAGGAAUUUUGUUAACAAUUCAAUAUUCCUUGUACUAUGUAACCUAGACUUAAAAAAAUAAUAAUUCUGAGUUCCAGGCACCCCACCCCAGGCCCCAACUUGGAAAAUGCCUUGAAUUCUUUCCUAUCAACUCUGUCUCAUUGUACAGAAUUCAACCCAGGCGGCCAGGGUGGAGGAUUGUCCAAAUGCUGUGGGUUUCACAGGCUUCUCUGGGCCCACAUGGCGCCCUGGGCAUUCCCCCAGCAGUUCCCUCCACAUUUCUGUUUGAAGUAAG